GACUUGAGGACAACAAGAUCCAACUGCUAGAGAGAAUGGAGACAAACCUUGGGAGAUUUGUAUGGAGAAUCAUGUCCUGUGAAGCUUACACUGGAAAUUUAUUAGACAUGAUGAUGUGGUUUCAACCAAACCUAUUUUGAGCCCUCCUGGAAAAUCCUUUGCCUUAAUGCUGGCCCAUCCUCAGCGACAGGACUAUUCAUAAAGCUGGAACCCCCUUGAAAGCAGAGAUCAUGUCUUAAACUUCCAUACCCUACACUGGCCCCUGGAACAGUGGGACAUGCAUGAGUCUUUUCCUUUAGUAACCUGGAGUGAGGUUAGCAUCUCCCAUCUUCCUGCUUGAUGGCAGAAGCCAACAGCACCAGGAGCAAGUGUGGCAUCCAAAGAGAUCCGAAGAGACCCAAGAGUCUGAAGACACUUUCUUCACUCCUGCUCACCACAACUCAGCAACCUCGUGCAAGCACAGGACAUUGAUCUCUGCUAAUAAGGAGAGAGUUCCAUACCAGUGAGCUUUGGGACUGGGAUUACAAAACAUUCAUAGAAGAUCCAAAAGUUAACAAAAGGAAAUUAGUCAUAGUAGGAGAAGGAUACUCAACAAGGAUGUCUAUUGAAGAUAUUGUGCUGAUUCAGUUGAGCACAUCUUUCCUUACCAUGUAUGACCCAUGUGGAUCAGUUGGUCAAGUAUUAGAGAGGAGCUUCAUCUCUUUCUGGCUUUUGGUAUUCUGGAGACUGUGAAGAAAUAUCCUGUGACAGUAUCUUCUGUACAUCUACCCAAACUUCAAGACUAUUAUGAAA